rnacentral:tRNA from 2 species
GUCAGGAUAGCUCAGUGAAGCAAAACCUCCC